AAGGCCUUAGCUUAAUUAAAGCACUUGCUUUGCAUGCAAGAGAUGUCGGAUAGUCCUCGGCAGGCUUUA
rnacentral:tRNA from 1 species